UGAGGAAUAUUGGUCAAUGGGCGAGAGCCUGAACCAGCCAAGUAGCGUGCAGGAUGACGGCCCUAUGGGUUGUAAACUGAUUUUGAAGGGGAGUAAAGUGAGUGACGAGUCACUCAUUGCAAGUACCCUUGGAAUAAGGACCGGCUAAUUCCGUGCCAGCAGCCGCGGUAAUACGGAAGGUCCGGGCGUUAUCCGGAUUUAUUGGGUUUAAAGGGAGCGUAGGCGGCCUUUCAAGCGUGUUGUGCAAUG
rnacentral:rRNA from 1 species